rnacentral:rRNA from 1 species
UACGUAGGGGGCGAGCGUUGUCCGAAGUUACUGGGCGUAAAGCGCGCGUAGGCGGGGGAUUAAGUGAGAGGUGAAAGGCUGGGGCUCAACCUCAUGCAGUGCCUCUCAUACUGGUCCUCUUGAGGGCGGUAGGGAGAAGUGGAAUGGCUGGUGUAGCGGUGAAAUGCGUAGAUAUCAGGAGGAACACCGAUGGCGAGGGCAGGUCUCUGGGCAUUAACUGACGCUGAGGAGCGAAAGCAUGGGGGAGCGAACAGG